AAUGGGCUGCCUUUGCUCAUUAGAAGCAGGGAGCUCUCUUCUUCUUCCCCUGGAUCCUUCCUUUAAAAUAGUUUCUUUUGUCUUAAGUUUUCAUUUCUACGUUUGUCCCUUCAUUCAGUCUCUUAAAUGACGGUCUCAAGCAGUAACAGUAGUAAUUGCUGUAAUGACGGUCUCAAGUAGUAACCAGGGCACUCUGCCACAAGUGGCACCUGAACAGGGACUAACAGGGACUAUCAAGAACAAACGGAGACCUGAAGAGACCUGAAGGGAACUGAAGAGGUCUGCAGGGACAAAUAGAGAUAAGUAGGGAUAAAUAGAGAUAAAUAGAGACAAAUAGAGAUAGGUAAGGAAUGACAGGGACUUGCAGGAAGUAACAGGGACCAUAGGGACAGAUAGGGAUAGAUAAAGACUAGCAAAGACUAGCCGAGAUUAGCAAAGACCAGCAAGGACUAGCAGAGACUAGCAAAGACUAGCAGAAACUUGCAGGGACAGGCAGAGACAGAUAGGGACAGAUAGGGUCCUACAGGGACUUGAACGAGGAAGAUCUGCUGGAAAAGAAAAGAACUACAACCAACCAGAUGAACAAGAAACCCUGUUACAAGUCUGCUGGCAGCAACAUAAGGUCAGUGCUCUAAAAAGGUACUGGUCAGUACCCUAGAGGUACAAAGAACGGGAAGUUUUUGAUCAGGGUAACAUGGGGAAGAAUUUGGUUAUUUCUUUUCUCUUUUUUGUUUGGAGUUUGGUACGUGCCAUCUUCUGUUAUUUCAGGGUUUGAGAGAAUUUUUUGCCCCACCUACAGCACCUAUGGAGGGUGAUGAACAGGAGAGGGAGGAUGAAAAUUGGCUUGUAUCAUCUUCUUUAGUGGUUGCAAAAAUGCUAAAUGUUAUAAGUGUAGAAAAAUUGGAUCUAUGGGAGUAAUUUUAGGUAAAAGUCAACUUAACUUACACGGUAUUACUGUAGUCCCAGGAGUUGUUGAUUCGGAUUGUGAAGGAGAAAUUCAGGUGGCGGUAAUGUCAUAAGAUUUUAGGUUUUAAACCAGGAGAAUAUCUUGCAGAACUGUUGCUUAUUCCCUGUAAAUUGCACCCUUCUCCACAUAAGGAGAAAUGAGUUUGUGGAUUUGGCUCAACUGUUGCUUAUUCCCUGUAAAUUGCCCUCUUCUCUAUGUAAGAAGAAGCGAGGAGGUCGGGAAUUUGGGAGUACAACUAGGAGAGAGAUUUAUCUAUCACAACCCAUAGCAUCUAAUAGACCCACCUGUACAGUACAAAUUGAAGGCUUAAGGAUUGUUUUUUUACUAUGUUAUUGCACGAGAGGGAGAGGCUUCGAUUUGUUUUCUCUGUGCCUUCUGUUAAUCAGAAAGAGCCUGCUUCUCAUUAUCAAUGGAAAGUUUUACCCCGUGGCAAUUAACCAAAGAGGGAGAGGCUGAGCUGUAGCUUGUAGAACAAAUGCUUCUGCAAUGGCAUGCCUCCCGGCUUAGAGCCACCUUUGCUUCUGUUUUGGUAGAUUUACUAACUUGGGGACCAGGGUAUGCUUGUUUUUGCAGGAAAUGAACAAAAAGUGUGGGUGCCCCCAAGGUGUGUACUACCAUGGAAUGGGAGAUUGGAGGGACACAUGGAUCCCAACCGUGGGCCUGGUUCCCCCAGUAUGAGCUGAAUACGAAGACAGAACAAACCACCAACCGGCAAUUGAAGUAAAUGAUAGCUCCUUACAAAUACAGAGGACAAAAUAAAAGUGACUUAAUUAUAAAAACACAGUGACACAAAGUGAACCGGGUUCUAUAAAUUACCAUGGAAAGUGGUGAGCCAACGAUUUGGCAGAACAAAACCCUGAGGAUAUGCAAACAAAAGGGACUAUGGAAUUUGCAAUUGCAGAUUAAAAUUGAAGAAGAAAACAUUUGAGUUGCAAAUACCGUAUUAAAAGUGGACACUGCUUAUGACUGCUGUAUGCAACAGUUUUUCAGGCCCGAGGUGAUAAAUAAAAAAUUGUUUGCUCUAUUUAACCAUUGAA
rnacentral:lncRNA from 1 species